rnacentral:rRNA from 1 species
UACGGGGGGGGCAAGCGUUGUUCGGAAUUACUGGGCGUAAAGGGCUCGUAGGUGGCCAACUAGGUCAGACGUGAAAUCCCCAGGCUUAACCUGGGAACUGCGUCUGAUACUGGAUGGCUUGAAUCCGGGAGAGGGUAGUGGAAUUCCCGGUGUAGUGGUGAAAUGCGUAGAUAUCGGGAGGAACACCAGUGGCGAAGGCGACUACCUGGCCUGUUCUUGACGCUGAGGCGCGAAAGCUAGGGGAGCAAACGGG